rnacentral:rRNA from 1 species
CAAUAGCGUAUAUUAAAGUUGUUGCAGUUAAAAAGCUCGUAGUUGAAUUUUGGAUUUGUUUGCAGGGUCUCUUCGAAAGAGGAGCACUUUGUGAAUGGGUCUUGUUUGUAGUGAACCCAUGUGUCAUUUACUUGGUGUGCGGUGGAACUACAGGUUUACUUUGAAAAAUUAGAGUGUUUAAGGCAAGCAUCGCUUGAAUACAUUAGCAUGGAAUAAUAGAAUAGGACUUUGGUUCUAUUUUGUUGGUUUCUAGGACCAAGGUAAUGAUUAAUAGGGAUAGUUGGGGGCAUUAGUAUUUCAUUGUCAGAGGUGAAAUUCUUGGAUUUAUGAAAGACUAACUUGUGCGAAAGCAUCUGUCCAGAAUGUUUUCAUUAA